GUAGGGAAUCUUCCGCAAUGGACGAAAGUCUGACGGAGCAACGCCGCGUGAGUGAUGAAGGUUUUCGGAUCGUAAAGCUCUGUUGUUAGGGAAGAACAAGUACCGUUCGAAUAGGGCGGUACCUUGACGGUACCUAACCAGAAAGCCACGGCUAACUACGUGCCAGCAGCCGCGGUAAUACGUAGGUGGCAAGCGUUGUCCGGAAUUAUUGGGCGUAAAGGGCUCGCAGGCGGUUUCUUAAGUCUGAUGUGAAAGCCCCCGGCUCAACCGGGGAGGGUCAUUGGAAACUGGAGAACUUGAGUGCAGAAGAGGAAAGUGGAAUUCCAAGUGUAGCGGUGAAAUGCGUAGAUAUUUGGAGGAACACCAGUGGCGAAGGCGACUUUCUGGUCUGUAACUGACACUGAGGCGCGAAAGCGUGGGGAGCAA
rnacentral:rRNA from 1 species